GACAGAGGUGCCGAGCGUUAGGCGGAAUCACUGGGCUUAAAGCGUGUGUAGGCGGGUGCCUAAGUACCUUGUGAAAUCCCACGGCUCAACCGUGGAACUGCUGGGUAUACUGGGUGCCUUGGGUCAUCUAGGGGCUGCCGGAACAAAUGGUGGAGCGGUGAAAUGCGUAGAUAUCAUUUGGAACGCCAACGGCGAAAGCAGGCAGCUGGGGAUGCACCGACGCUGAGACACGAAAGCCAGGGGAGCGAACGGG
rnacentral:rRNA from 1 species